GGGGGAGUACUUUUAAAGGACUUAAAUCCUUUUUAAUUUACCUAUUUUAUAGGGAGCAUAAACUUUAGAUGAUUUUUUGAAAAGAGGGGGUGAAACUUUUGAUUGAGAACUUUUGUGAUAACUGGAGGAUAUGAGUCUUGCCCAGAAAGCUAACUUUGAUCAAAUUUAUGAGUGGCAGCAAGCUCAUGAAGAUUAUAUGGCUGAUCAAUUUCUUGACAUUGAUGUUCAUCUAGGAAAUAUUGCAAAUCACCUCAACCUUCAACCACCCGAGAGAUUUUGAAGUCCUGAAUUUUUGAAUUAGGAUUCUAUGUUUGUGUGCUUUGUUGAUUGGUUGUUGUUCUUAUCUCUAUGUUAUAUUUCUGCACUUUUAUUACUCUUUAUGUAAUCCUUCCUUUUAUGAGUAAACUGAUCUCUUGUCUUUAUGCAUACAUUGUUUAAUUGAGAGGGAGAUCAUAUUUGGGGGGAGAUUUUUAAUUUAAUCUUUUUGCUUAUGAUAAAAAAGGGCGAGAAGAAAACUAUAAGGGGAGAAGUAUUGAUACAGGUACUGCUAACUUUGUUGUUGUCUGUUAGCUUGUAUGUGUUGCAGGUAAACUAGAGUUGCUUUUAAAAGUGAAUUUUUGAUCAUCAUAAAAAAGGGGGAGAUUGUUACCAAUAAGGAGUAUUGGUAAAUCCUGAAGAAUUGUUUUGAUGAUGCUGCAAAAAGUGUUAUUUGAAGAGAACAUUAGAAUUAUUUAAAAAGCAACUUGUAGAAUUUGGAUGUAGUAGGAAAAUCUUAAACCUUGUAUUUUUCAUUAGAAUAAUCGAUUAUGGAUAAGCUAUAAUCGAUUAUCACUUGCAUUUGUACUAGAAUAAUCGAUUAUCAUGAAGCAAUAAUCGAUUAUCACAAGUCAUACUUGAAUAAUCGAUUAUCACUUGAUACAAUCGAUUAUCACUUUUUGAAAAACCUGUAAGGACUUGAAUAAUCGAUUAUCACUUACAAUAAUCGAUUAUUUGUGGCAGUUGGGAGAUGACCUUUCAGUUUCUGACCCUGGGCUUAUAAAUAGGUGCUUUGAGAACUUCAGAAAGUAACAUUGUGAACUUAGGUCUUUUGUAGAAUACAGUUUGUUUGAGGAAGUUCUCAAAAGCUAGUUUUGUUCCCUUGCCUGGUCUCGUGAAUACGAGAAGCUCGCGUUUCGUGUGUCGAUAGUCGAAGCGGUUCUCUUCGAGUUGGCAAGGUGCUCUGCCUGGUCUCGUGAAUAGGAGAAGCUCGCGUUUCGUNUGUCGAAAGUCGGAGCGGUUCUCUUCGAGUUGGCAGAGUGUUUGCUUCUGGUUCGUGUGUCGAAGGAAGCACUUCCAAUUCGUUUGUCAAAGGAAGUUACUCACUGCAUUCUUCCAGUUCGUUUGUCGAAGGAAGGUGUUUUCUAUCCCUUACUCAUUUCAUUAUCUUGUAAUGUGUACAACUAUAUUUUUAGUGAAAAUAGUUAAUCACUUUUUAUAGUGAUUAACAACUGGACGUAGAAUCUUUUGAUUCGAACCAGUAUAAAAAUCAUUUGUGUGAUUUUUCUCUUCCCUACACUCCUUAAUCUUUUAGCACUCCAACUGUUCGAUAAAAGUUUUACAAGAAAUUUAAAACUGAUGAAGGAACUAUUUUUGUGACCGAACACGCUUAUACGCUACUCUUAGUUUAAUUCCGUUGCGUCACACUCUAUCUUCGAACUAUACCCUUCGAUUUCUUUUAAUUUUGUUCUUACUUUUAAAAACCCUUUUGUUUUUAUAAACCUUUUUAAUAGGUAUAAGCAUUUCAUUAUUAUUUCUAGUUGCAACUUCAAGCAGAUUUUCCUUUCUGGUUUUGUGUGUGCAGCUAUAUUUGGUUUUGGGUUAGAGAGGAGAUUUAUAUUUUUGCGUCGUGCUUCUAUAAAUUCCUUGUUGUAAAAACCGCAACCAUUAUAGUGCAUUUGCUUCCUGGGUUGGAAGGACACUAGAUGUAGGCAUUAUUGGCCGAACCAGUAUAAAAACCAGUGUUUGAUUUUCUCUAUCCCUGAAUUCUAUAUUUCCAGUCGACUAUAUUCGUUUAGCAGUCAACUGCGUUUUUUCGCUGCAUUGAAUUUUCAUUACUUGCAUUUCAAGAAAAGAUCAAAAUCUUUGAAUUUUCAUACCAAGACUGCGAAAAGAUUUUGAUUUUCAACUAACACCAAUUCACCCCCCUCUUGGUGUAAAACGAAGCCUACGUGUUUCAUUACAAUUGGCACCAGAGCUGGUUUUUAUAAGAUAUUUGAAAAUUCAGUCAACUCUGUUUUUAUCCUAUUCGACUGUAAAACCUGGGGAUGAAUUUAAAUUUUCAAACUUUUGGUGAAGGUGCUUCAACAAACAGACCACCUCUGUUUGCUGGUGAAAAUGACCCUUUUGGAAAAUUCGCAUGCAGAUCUUUCUUGAAUCGUAAGAUAAAGGAAUUUUGGAUGCCACUUUGAUUGAUCCAUAUGUGCCUACAAAAAUUGUUAAUAGUGAAACUAUUUUGAAACCUUUUACUGAGUGGACUGCUGAUGAAAAUAGAAAAGCUCAGUAUGAUGUUAAAGCUAGAAAUAUCAUUGCCUCUGCACUAACUAUUGGUGAAUUUUUUAGGAUAUCCCAAUGCAAGUCUGCAAAGGAAAUGUGGGAUGUUCUAGAGGUAACACAUGAAGGCACAGAUGAAGUAAAGAGACCCAGGAAGAAUUCGUUGAUACAAGAGUAUGAAUUGUUCAGAAUGGAAGCUGAUGAAAGCAUCUAUGAUGUUCAGAAACGAUUCACUCACAUUGUAAAUCACUUGAUGGCUCUUGGCAAAGCCUUUGAUAAAUAAGAGAUCAACAUCAAGAUUUUGAAAAGCUUGAACAGGAAUUGGCAACCAAAAGUCACUACAAUCUUUGAAUCCAAAGAUCUUAAAACUAUGAAUAUGGCUACCUUGUUUGACAAGCUACGGGAACAUGAGUUAGAACUUGGUAGACUGAAGGAUGAAGAGGAGAUUGAAGAAAAGAAGUCCAUAACUCUAAAGGCUGCAAGCAAGAACAUCACAGAAACAGAGAUGGACGACAAAGAAUUGAUGACCUUGAUGGUAAGAAAGUUUAGUCGACUUAUGCAAGAUGAUAGUCAAUUGUCUAACUAUGCAGGUCAAAGCAAAAAGAAGAGCUUCAACACAAAUGUUGUCCAGUGCUAUGAAUGUGGAAAAGAAGGCCACAUCAAGCCUAACUGUCCUGAUUUACAACCAAAGCAGAAAGGAAAUAAAAGAAUCCCUCAAGGCAGAAAUAUGAGAAGAAAAAGAGCCUACAUUGCUUGGGAAAACUCAGAUCCUGAGAAAUCAAGUGAUGAAGAUUCUGAUCAAGAAGAGGAAUCGAAUUUGUGCUAUAUGACAGGUGUAACAUGGGAUGACUAUGACAGUGAUGCAGACAUAUCAAAUGAACCAGUAGAAGUCAAAUAUGAUCUGCUUCAAGAUGCAUUCAAAGAGUUACAUGUUGAAGCCAUGCGACUGCAAUACAAGGUAAAUUGCCUGUGCUCUGAAAGAAGAGACUUUGAAAAUAGAAUUGAUAACCUUAUUGCAGAGAAUGAAAAAUUGGAAAAAGAAUUGAAUGAAGCUUUGUUAUCUGCUAGAAAUAUUGAAAUUAAAAUUGUUACUGUUGAAAAAGCUUGUGAAAAUUGUCCUACAAACAUUGAAAAGAUAAAUUACUUGACUAGCAAGCUAGCUAAGUUUACUCAAGCUAAUGACAAUUUAGAUGUUGUAUUAAAUUCAUCUAGCAGAAUUAAAAAUACACAUGGAAUUGGAUACAAAGCUUACUUUAACAGAACCAAUGCUAGGAAACUUAAUGAAUUAAGAAAACCUGCUAGAAAUACAUGUUUUUAUUGCAAUUGUGUUGGUCAUACUGUUAGAAAUUGUUAUUAUAGAAAUGUUGUUGUUCCUCAAGGAUUAUGUGUGUGGAUACCAAAGGAACAUGUAACAAGAACGAACAAUUAAGGACCCAAAGUCAAAUGGGUACCAGCAACCAAAACUUAAUUGUUUUACAGGAUAUGCAGCUGAUGCAGAAUUGUUCUCAAGGAUGAAUUAACUAUGGAACAUAUCAAACACCUUGAGUGUCUACAACUGGUAAAUCUGUAUCUAUCUGUUGCAUCAUGCAUAUACUGAUUAAUUGUUGCUGAAUGAUUGUUUGUGUAGUGUGCUUAAUUGUUUGUAUGAUUGAAUUUGAUUAAAAAUGAUUUUUAUGAGUCCUAGUCGACUUCAUCUUUAAUUCAAUCGACUGAGUCAUUUGAUUGUGUGAAAAACUGUUUUUUAAACGUUAAAAAUUUGAAUCAAGGGUCUUAUGAAACACUUUAAAUGAUCACAUUGCUCAAAAAACCCUGUACUGUGUCUAUUACUGUAUGAGCAAAUUUCUCUAAUAAUCCUUAGACCAAGAAGGUGUGUUCUGAAGAGUUGUGAUCUCAAGAUGGCUUCUUCAAAUCAAAGCUCAAAUAAAGGAAAAGGAAUGUAAAUCGCUUUGUCAAGAAAAUAUGAUCCCUCAGGAUGGAUUAGUGACGAUGAGUCAAGAAGCAAACUUCUUUUAAACCCAUAAAAAACGAUGGCUUAUCCAUACUACAUCAAAUUUAGAAAGUUCAGCCAAGAGGGAUUCGAUUUUCCUGAAUUACUGGAGUUUCAAGAUCUCUAUAGUCUCGUCCAAAUGAAAGGUGCAUGGUAUCCUGACUUGGUGGAGGUAUUUUAUCACAAUCUUAAAUUUGAAAAUGGCAUCAUGAGGUCUAGAGUAAAGGGUGUAAACAUUGAGGUAGAUGAUUUCAUCUGGACAUUGUUCACUAGGCUUGAAGCAAAAGGUGCACUCUCACAUUUGCCCACAUCUGAACUGAAUACACACUUAAGUAAAAGGGAAUUGUACUCAAAUUGGAGAAGAUAUCCUGAAGAUGUAUCUCUGAUGAAUCAAUAUUUUAUACUAUUCACUUAGCUUUUCGCACCAUAUUGUGUUAGUGAAAUGUGUUUAAUUCUCCAUUUUUAUCUCAUUUUCAAUAUUUGGGUUGAAUUUCAAGACUAAAUCUUAUCUUGAUUAAUUUGAAUUAUUUGGGAUUAAUUAUUUCAAUCAUUUUAUGCAGGACAAUCACUGUUGAAAGGUUGAGAAAGAGUCCAUUGAAGAUGGCCAGUCCUGACCGAACAGUCUGCAGAAGGCUUGACCAAACGGUCUGCAGAAGGCUUGACCGAACGGUCUUGAUGAAGUCUGUACCGAUCACCAGUUCCUGAGCCCGUAACGCAUUACUGAACUGAAUGACCAGUUGAUGACUAAUGUCGGAUGGUCUUGGAAAAUGUGCGAGUGAGGACAAAGCACAUUGGAAAGCCUCGUGUUGAUCUGUGGGGGCAGUCAAUAUUCCCUGUAAGUUGUCGGGGCGUUACAUCAAGCAAGUUUCUAAGUGAAAAAGGGUGCUUUUAGUAUCAAAAUUACAUAACAAAUAACAAUGUUUCAACCCGUUAUCACAACCCCAAACUUAGAACUUUGCUUGUCCUCAAGCAAAAAAAAUGCAACUCAGCUUUUCAGAACAAUCACUACAAUGACUUAACCUUUUUUAGAAACCUUUUCAAGACAAGGAAUCACUUUUAUCAAUUUCAGCAUAAGAUUUCAGUCAAGAUGUGCAGAUGCUUCAAUUCAAUCAUGCUUAAUGUGAUGCAUUUUCAACAGGUGCUAUCCUUAAGAGUGAUCAAUCAACCAAGCAGAGAUGCAAUUAGAAAUUCAGAGAACUAUUCCUCACCAGGAAAGGUGUUUCACUCAAGCACUCAAAAAUAUAUCUCUCAAAUUCAAAAGUGUCUCACUCAACUCACAAGUGUAUGGUGUGGUGUUUGCUCUCUGCUAUCACAAUGUCAGAAAAAUUAAUUUUACCUUUCAUUUAACCACAAUCAAAUAUACUCACAAGCAGGUUAUCAUCACAAGGGCUUUUCAUGGCUUGUAAUUUGGCUGGGCUAAGAAGGAAAUUGGUUUUUCUGGUUAGCAAAGUUCCUUGAGUCAAGAGAGACAUUUAUGAAUUCAUCUUUCAAGAACAACUCUCUUUUCUUUUUCCCAUCCUUCCCUUGUAGUGAGCUUUUUCUUUUUCUUUUUCUCACUUUUUCUUUUUCUUUUGCCUUUUUCUUGCUUUUUCUUUUGAUUGCUCACUGUCUAGAGAUGUGGGUUGUUUCCUGGUAACCCCAAACUUGAACCUUUAUCAGUACCUCAUCAAAUGUUCUCAACUUAACUCAAGGUAAAGAAUUUUCAAAAAGGUUUUUCAAGACAUACAUAAGGCUCAAGGUUCAAAGGUUAGAACAAAUUGUUCUCUUUUCAAUGGGCAACAAUAUUUUGAAGGCAAAAAGAAUAAGGGAUAACAAAAGAUGGCCUUGAUCAUAUGGAUCCUGCAAGCAAGUAGUUCAAUCACAGAAAAUUUGGGCAAAAUCCUUCAUGAUUCCAUAGUAAUAACAAACAACUCUGAAGCUCAAAACUCACACAGGUAAACUCACAAGUUCUCAAAUUUAGAAAAACAUCUUGCUCAGUAUCUCAGUAAAACUUUAUCUAAAGGACAUGUCUCACAAAUUGGGAUUCAUCACUUAUAGCACAUCAUGCAUCAUCUCAACCUCAAUCAAACACUAGAAUCUCAUAAAGCAAAACCCAUCACACAAAACAGGCACAGUUGAAUCAAAACAAUUCAGUUCAUUAAAGCAGAGCACAAUAAAAACAAAAUAAAAUAAAACAAAAACAAAAAUUGAAAAUUAAAAAGUAAAAGUUCAGAGCACUGGGUUGCCUCCCAGCAAGCGCUUCUUUAACGUCACUAGCUUGACCCAGUCUCCAUCAUAGCAUCCAUCAGUAGAUGCUGUUAGUAGCAUCUAUCAGUAGAUGUCUGAUCACAUAGCAUCCAUCAGUAGAUGCUAAUCUUCCAUGGUAUCCCUCAGUAGACACCAACCUUUCUUAUCUUCAUUGGCACCCAUCAGUAGAUGCCUAAUCACCUAACAUCCAUUAGUAGAUGUCUAGUCACCAUCCCCUUCCAUAGCAGCAUCCAUCAGUAGAUGCUCUCUCAAACUCUUCAGCAUCCAUCAGUAGAUUGUUAAAUCCCUAGCAAGUGUACUAGAUUGUUCUCAAGUAUAUAAAAUGGGUAAGUCCAAGUAUCGUUUCCCAAAGGACUCUUAGGCUUUACUUUUCAUGUAAACCAAUCGCAUAAGACUUGAGAAGAAAUUAAUUUUGGGUUUUGAAUGCAAAAACAAAAGUAAACAUGCAAAUGUAGUGAAUCAAUUGGCUAAAGAAACUAUGGAUGAAUGGAGUUGUUGGGGUUUACAAUUUCAUCUUAUCCACCUUCUUAUAUCUACUUUUCUUAUCUAAUUCGCUUAUUUAUCAUAUUGUCAUGCAAACUUUCUUGGUCUACCCUUAACCUAAUUCCUUGGCGAAAAGAGCCUAUUACUAAUUACUGGCUUGUUAUCCCUAGCCUCCCCUAACAAUUAAUAAUGCAUGAUAAACAAAAGCAAAAUACAAUUGAUCGUCCUACCCCUAUUCCUAGGCGGUAUUAGCAUAAUCAAGGAAUUCCCCCCAGUUCAUGACAUUACUGUAUGUUCCCGUAUCAAUAAACACAAACAACAUUUACCGAAUGAGUUAAGCGAUAAAAGCAUUAAGCGAAGGUAAAGAACCAAACAAUUGAUAAAGAUAAGAAUAUGCAAGCAUAUUAAGAAGAUAAAAAUUUUGAUAUAAGAGAGUUUCAAAAGAUUACAUUGUUCUCCAACAACCUAGGGUUUAGUUCACCACAAUCAUGGUGAAUCUAGAUGAAAUAUAAUGGAAGAAUGGAAGAAAUAACCCUAAACUUGGUAGAUUGGAGCCUAACCAUCCAAGGAACCUCCUCCAAGGUGUGUGGAAUAGCUUUGACGUUUCUCUCUGCCAAAAGAUUAUAUUUUGAUUCGCACUGGGUCUAUAUAUAAGCCAAAAAGAUAACAAAAAGAUUACAGAAUCUAAGCUAAUAAAAACAGACAACUGCCCAAGCGCCUAAGUAAACCGCUCAGCGGUUUCCCCUUUAGCCGUUGGACCGCUCUGACACUCAGCGGUCCAUUCUAAGCUAAUAAAAACAGACAACCGCCCUUGAUCGCUCUAGACGCUCAACGGUCCAUUCUGGCGCUCAGCGGUUCACUUGACCCUUCUUUUCAUCCUUUUUCUUCCUCUUUCACGGGUCUAAGUCCACCUUACUUCACUUCCAUCUUCAAUUCUCCUUAAAACCCUGCAAAACAAGCAUAAUAUCUCUAGAACCAACUUUUUACUCUCUCAUGACUCAAUUAAGUGUUUUACUUGAUUUUAAAAUCAUUCUAAGUCAUAAAGGGUGUGUUUUGAUAUCAAAUUUAAGUAUGAAAAUAACGGUUUUUAGACCGUUAUCAUAGAUGCGAGUCUUUCUCAUCAACAUCCUCUAGUAGAUGUUAUUCUUUUUCUUCUUCAUCAACAUCCAUCAGUAGACGUUGUCAGUACUGCCGUCAGAAGCAACGUAUAACCUAAAAAAAAAACUCAAACACACAAUAAAACCAAAUCCAAACCACACAAAUAAUAAAAAUAAAAAAAAAAAUAAAAUAAAAUAAAAUCAAAUCAAAUCAAAUAAUAUAAAAUAAAAUCAAAUCAAAUAACAUCAAAUCAAAUAAAAUGGAAUAAAAUAAAAUGAAAUAAAAUAAAAUCAAAUCAAAUUAGAUCAAAUAAAAAAAAUAAAAAAAAAAUUAGGAACUCGAUUCAAGAUAUUUUUUUCUUUUUGUUGAAUUUUUUAGGAACUUAAUAUAACCUGGAACAUGUUGCAAUGUCUCAAUCAUAGGAACUUUAAUCUCCAAUUUCUUGAAGAUUUCCAUGAAACGCUUAAAUUGUUUCUCCUUCUUCUUCCUAUGAUCCUUCUUUGGGUGAGGAAGGGGUUUUUCAUAUGAUUCUUUCUUUUUGCUUUCAUCCUUCCCCUCUCUCUUUUUCUCCUUGCAACACUCUUUAGGGCACAAAGGACUUUUCUCAAUUUUUUUCUUUUCUUUCUAAACCCCUUCUUUUUCUUCCUCUACAUCAUUUUCUUUUUCACUCAAAAAUUCUUUUUCUUUUCUCUCAUCUUCUUCCUUUUCUACCUCUUUCUCUUUCUCACUCAAACUUUAUUCUUCUUCUCUCUCUAUUUUUAUUUCAUCCUUUUUCUCUUCUUCUUGCUCUUCAUCGCUCAAACUCUCUUCUUCUUUUCCCUCUAUUUUUCUCUCAUCCUCUCUCUCUUUUCUUCUUUUUCUCUUUCCUCAUCUAGAACUUUGUCACUUCUAGUAGCAACUGCCUUGCAAUCCUUUCGAGGCCCCUUGUCGUUUUUGAUAUCAUUCAGCCUCUGACUUAUGAACCUGCAAUGUGCCUCUAUAUUUUGUGAUGAGGCCUGAAUGCUUUUCUGAAAUGAGAGAGAUUCGUUCAGGAAUUGUUGGAGAGUCUCUUCAAGCUUUGUAGUGCUGCUGGCUUGUGGUGGUCUAUUAAAUAGUCCACCUGCUUGCUAAAAUUGAGAUUGGUUUUUGCUUGAGUGAGAUCCCCACCAGUGGUUGAAAUUUCCUUGAACUGCCUCCAUCCUACACAAAAAUUCUUAGAGAGAUUGUUAGUAUAAAAAAAUAGAAAUUUGGGAAUUGAAAAAUAAAAAUACAAAUGGAAAAUUAAAAUUGAUGGAUUAAAAUAAAUUAAAAAUAAAAUAAAAUAAAGUCAAAAUCAAUCAAGAUUCACACAAAUAGAAUAGCUUAAACCGUGAGUCCCCGGUAAUGACGUCAAAAACUUGUUGGGGCAAAUCGACAAGUUUAGCGAGUCGCAUAAGUAAUAUAAAAUGGUAAGACCAAGAAUCAUAUACCAGAGCACUCACGGCGCUGAACAGUUGUGUGAAAACAAGAUUAAUUAAGACUUAAAAAUAAAAGAGAUCAUGGGUUGUUUUGCAAAAAUAAUAAAAUAAAAUAAAAUAAAAUAAAAUAAAGUCAAAAUCAAUCAAGAUUCACACAAAUAGAAUAGCUUAAACCGUGAGUCUCCGGUAACGACGUCAAAAACUUGUUGGGGAAAAUCGGCAAGUUUACCGAGUCGCACAAGUAAUAUAAAAUGGUAAGACCAAGAAUCAUAUACCAGAGCACUCGCGGCGCUGAACAGUUGUGUGAAAACAAGAUUAAUUAAGACUUAAAAAUAAAAGAAAUCAUGGGUUGUUUUGCAAAAAUUGAUCAGUGGCAAAAGAGCACAAACAUGAAUGGAGGUUGAUUAAUAUGAGAUGAGUAUGUUGUUGGGGUUAGAUUUCACCAAGUUCCCUCUCAUGUAUAUAAGAAUUCUUCUUUAUUCAUUAAUGCCAACGUCCCUCACUAAACCACUUAAACCCGAUCCCUCGGUAAAUAUGCGUGUCCCUAAUUACCAGUUCAUACAAUUCCUAGCAUUCCUGGUAAAAAGAUGUGAAGAUCAAGAGGUUAAGACGACUAAGACUCAUACCCUAAUCCCUGAGUAAUAUAACCCUUAGGAGUAAUUCAACAAGGACCUAAAUUGAAGGGAACCUCCCGGCACUCAUGCAACUCACAGAUAAUGCUAUUGUAUAAGCAAGAAUAAAACAAAUGAAUUACUCUAACAAUUAAUGAAAAAGCAUAAAGAAUUAAGAAUCAAUUCAAAUACAUGAAAGUUUACAAGGUUACAUCAUUUCCCAACAAUAAAUAGAAAUUAGUUCCCCAUAGACAUGGGGAACCUAUGAAUAAUGGAAGAAAAGAAGAAGAAUGGGAAGCCUAAGAAUUGGCUAGGAGUGUAUUGCUAUGCUAUCUUCUACCAGGGAUGCAAAACAUAGAGCCCUAGGGUCCUUUAAAUAGUUUUAGGCGCAUCCCAAAGUGCGGCCCGGUCCGAAAGAAUCAAAACAAAGUAGAAACAAGGCCUGAUCCAGGUCAUGUAUCGCCUAGGCGUCGUAGGGAGCUCGCUUGGGCAAGAUUUGAGGAGCAUGUUGGGCUUGGGCGUCAGAUUUGGACGCCCAAGCUUCGAGCGUCCGUCGCGCUGUUUUCUCGUUCCUAUCGCCUGGGCUUUGGUUUUUCCCUCUUCUUGGUGCCUUUUUGACCCCUUUUGAGCUCUAUCUUCUAUACUUUUCACUUCUUCUUCCAAUAUUCCUUCAAUCUUUGCCAAAACAAUGGGGAUUUGUUAGAAAACUGUUGAAAUUAACCUCAACUCUCUUAUUCACACAAUUUAUUGAAAACACAUGAGUUCAAGCAAGUUUCUAAGUGAAAAAGGGUGCUUUUAGUAUCAGAAUUACAUAGCAAAUAACGGUGUUUCAACCCGUUAUCAACACAUAAGAAACGUCUAAGAAACGCAAGAUUCCAGCUUUCUAAUCUAUUCAGAAGGUUUCAGUUGAAUCUUUUUCAUCAAACUCCUCUGUUUUUGAAUUCAGAUUUUCCUUCUGCAGAAGUGUGAGUCUUUCUAUUUUAUCAUGCAUAAUCCUUAUCUUUCAGUUGAAUCUAUGUUUGAAUUUAGAUUUUCCUUCCAGCAACAUAUUUCUCAAAAUUUGAUUCCGGAAAGAAACUUGUUCCUUUGAUUUUCAACUUCGAUGACUUUCUUGAAGAGCUUUCAGAGAAAUGUUCUCCCAUAAAUCUCCAUCUAUUUAUGGUUUUUACCAAUCCGAGAGACAUAAGUGAGUCUCUGUCAAAAACAUUGGAGGAAGUCCAGAUAUGUUUCUGUUCAUUACUGACAUCAACUCCUAAAAGCACCAAGAUUUUGCUAAUGAGACAUCCGUAGGGUAGACACAGUGACCUCCUCAGUGCAACAUACUCCAUAUGGUCUUUUAUCACUUACAGCCAGUUUGUUGGAAUAUUAUUUUUGAUGGCAUGCAACAAAUAUAUAUGCUCUGCAGCCAGUUUCUGUAGGGCAAGAUGACAUUUUCCAAAAGAUGAGUGAGAAUCUUUUCUUCUUUCAAUAACCCUUCAUUUGCAAAGAUGCAUUUUGUUGAAUAUACCCCUGGAAAUCUCAACCAAUCUUGAUAAACCCAUUUCUUGCACAACACGCUAUUUAUUUCAGUUGUAGAUAGGUGAGCAAAAGCACCUUUAGUGGGUAAGUUUGACACCACGUUCCAAAAGAAAUCAUUUAGAUGAAUAUCAAUGCCUUUCACCCUUGAAACAAUGUCACCAUUUUCAACUUUCAAGUUAUGAUAGAAAACUUUGAGAAGGUUGGGAUUCCAGUUUCCCUUCAUUUGAACGAAGUCAGAUAAUCCUUGUCUCUCUAGCCAGUAAGUAAAUAUGAAUACGUCCUGGUUGAUGCUCAUUGGUUUAACAAUGGUUUUGAAGGAGCUACAUACAAAGCUUUGACGAUUUUCUUCAUCACUUAUCCAACCCAUUGGAUCAGGUUUCCUAAUUAUGCGGGAUCACACUUCUCUUUCUUCAUUACCAGCACAACUUGAGGAUUCCAAUGAUGAGAUUCUUGAAAACCUUCCUUUCAGGAUUAGAGAGAUUUCAAGAAACAGAAUUCAAAAGAAAUGUUUGAACCGCAAAGACAAAACGAAAGGUGCUAAGUGAUUAUUACAAUAAGACUAGGUGCACUGUAUUAUGAACAAUUACACGAACCAAAGAUCGGUUAAGUUGAUUUGACAUAAGGUUGACCGUUUACCAUCACAUUUUUUAUAUGAAGUAGUGUUUAGGGACACAUGCAAAAAGUAGACAAAUGUAUUCGAAUGGAAGUCGACUAAGAAUUAAGAAAUUUAUUUUCAAACAGUUCAAUCAAUAAAACAAGUAAGUAUUCAGCACAGACAAUCAUACAACAACAAUCAAUCAAUAUAAGCAUGAUGCAGCAGAUAAAUACAAUUUUACCAGUUGUAGAUUCUCAAGAUAUUUGAUGUAUUCCAUAGUUGAUUCAUCCUUGAGAUCAUUCUGCAUUAGCUGUGUAUCAUGUAAAACAACUAAGUUUUGGUUGCUGCUACCCAUUUGACUUUGGGUCCAUGAUUGUUAAUCCUUGUUACAUGUUCCUUUGGUAUCCACACACAUAAUCCUUUAGGAACAACAACAUUUCUGUAAUAACAAUUUCUAACAGUGUGACCAACACAAUUACAAUAGAAGCAUGCAUUUUUAGCAGGUUUACUUAAAUCAGUAAAUUUCCUAGCAUUGGCUCUGUUAGAUUGAGCUUUGUAAUCAAUUCCUUGUCUAUAAAUUACUAUGUGAGAAGAUUUUAAAACAACAUUCAAAUUGUCUCUAUCUUGAGUAAACUUAGCUGGCGUGCUAGUCAAGUAACUUAUUUUUUCAAUAUCAGUAGGACAAUUUUCACAACCUUUUUCUACUAUAACAGUUUUAAUUUCAACAUUCUUAGCAGAUAACAAAGCUUCACUUAACUCUUUUUCUAAUUUCUCAUUAUCAGCAACAAGGUUAUUAAUUCUAUAUUCAUAGUCUCUUCUUUCAGAGUUCAGUCAAUUAACCUUUUAUUCCAGUCGCAUUGUUUCAGCAUGCAGUUUUCUUAAUGUCUCUAUCAGUUGCUGAUAUUUUGUCUUCUAUAGUCAGCUUCUCAAAUUCAUCAUCAUUGUCACUUUCAAUUCUUGAUGUUCCAGCCAUGUGACAUAUGUUGGAUUUCUCCUCUUGAUUAGGAUCCUCAUCACUUGAGCUUUCUGAAUCUGAGUUCUCCCAAGCAAUGUAUGCUCCUUUUCUUUUCAUAUUUCUACCUUGAGCGAAUACUUUCUUGUCUUUUUGCUUCGACUGUAAGUCAGGGCAAUCAAGCUUGAUGUGACCUUCCUUUCCAAGUUCAUAGCACUGGACAGUGUUUGUACUGAAGUUUUUCUUUUUGUUUUGACCUGCAUGGUUAGAAAAUUGACUAUCAUUUUUCAUAAGUCGACUAAACUUUCUUACCAUCAAGGUCAUCAAUUCUUUUUUAUCCAUGUUUGUUUCUGAGAUGUUCUUGCUUGAGGCUUUCAGAGCAAUGGACUUCUUUUCUUUAAUCUCCUCUUCAUCCUUUAAUCUACCAAGUUCCAACUCAUGUUCGCGUAGCUUGCCAAACAAGGUAGCCAUGUUCAUCGUUGUAAGAUCCUUGGAUUAAGAGAUUGUUGUGACUUUUGGUUGCCAACUCCUAUUCAGACUUUUCAAAAUCUUGAUGUUGAUCUCCUCCUUAUCAAACACCUUACCGAGAGCCAUUAGAUGAUUUACAAUAUGAGUGAAUCGUUUCUGUACAUCAUAAAUGUUUUCUCCAGCUUUCAUUCUAAACAAUUCAUACUCUUGUAUGAGGGAGUUCUUUCUAGCUCUCUUGACUCAUCCGUGCCUUCAUGAGUUACCUCUAAGAUAUCCCACAUUUCCUUUGCAGAUUUGCAUUGAGAUAUCUUGAAAAAUUCAUCAAUUGUCAGUGCAGAGGAAAUUAUAUUUCUAGCUUUAACAUUAUACUGAGAUUUUCUAUUUUCAUCAGCAAUCCACUCAGUAAAAGGUGUUGUAGGCACAAAUGGACCAUUUAACGUGGCAUUUAAAAUUCCCUUAUCUUGCAAUUCAAGAAAGGUUUGUAUUCUGAUUUUCCAAAAAGGAUAGUUUUCACCAGCAAACAGAGGUGAUCUGUUUGUUGAAGCACCUUCACCAAAAGUUUGAAAACANNNNNNNNNNNNNNNNNNNNNNNNNNNNNNNNNNNNNNNNNNNNNNNNNNNNNNNNNNNNNNNNNNNNNNNNNNNNNNNNNNNNNNNNNNNNNNNNNNNNNNNNNNNNNNNNNNNNNNNNNNNNNNNNNNNNNNNNNNNNNNNNNNNNNNNNNNNNNNNNNNNNNNNNNNNNNNNNNNNNNNNNNNNNNNNNNNNNNNNNNNNNNNNNNNNNNNNNNNNNNNNNNNNNNNNNNNNNNNNNNNNNNNNNNNNNNNNNNNNNNNNNNNNNNNNNNNNNNNNNNNNNNNNNNNNNNNNNNNNNNNNNNNNNNNGGUGAAUUGGUGUUGUUUCAAAAACAAAAUCUUUUCGUAAUCUUUUAUCUAAAGUAUAAACCUUUUUUAUCUUUCUUGAAAUGCAAGUAACGGAAAUUUCUAUGCAGCGGAAAACGUAGUUGACUACGUAAAAGAUAAAUUCGACUGGAAAUAAAGAGUGCAGGGAUAGAUGUUAAGCCCCUGACAAGUGUACCAGAUCGUUAUCAAGUAAUACAAUUGGUAAACCCAAUAUCGUUCUUCCCAAAGGACUCUUAGGCCUUACUUUUGAUGUAAACAAAUCGCCUAAGACUUGAGAAAAGAAUUAAGUUGGUGUUUGUAUGCAAAGAACAAAUAUAAAUAUGCAAAUGCAGUUGAUUCAAUUGACUUUGAAAAAUUAUGGAUGAAUGGGGUUGUUGGGGUUUACAAUUUCAUCUUAUCCACUCUCAUAUAUCUACUUUUCUUAUUUACUUUACUUAUUUAUCCAAUUUCCAUGCAAACUUUCUAGCCUACCCUUAACCCAAUCCCUUGGUGAAAAUAGCCUAUUAUUAAUUACUGGCUUGCUAUCCCUAGCCUCCCCUAGUAACCAAUAAUGCAAUGUGAUCGGAAGCAAAAUACAAUUGGUCAUCCUACCCCUAUCCCUAGGCGGUAUUAGCAUAAUCAAGGAAUUUCUCACCAGUUCAUGACAUUACCGUAUGUCCCCAUAUCGAUAAAGACAAACAACUUUUAAUGAAUGAGUUAAACAAGUAUAUGAAAAGCAUAUGAAAUAAAUAAGAAUUUGAAUAUAUGAGAGUUUUAAAAGAUUACCUUAACUUUUAAAGAUUACCGUAUGUCCCCAACAACAAAGGGUUUAGUUCACCAUAAUCAUGGUGAAACUAGAUGAAAUAUGAAAGAAUGGAAGAAAUAACCCUAAACUUGGUAGAUUGGAGCCUAAGCAUUCAAGGAACCUCCUCCAAGUUGUGUGGAAUAGCUCUGGACGUUUCUCCCUGCCAAAAGAAUCUCCUUUUUGAUUUGCACUGUGAUGAAGGUUGAAAAACAGUUAUUUUCAAAUGUCAUUUUAGACCAAAUUACACCCUUUACUACUUAGAAUGAGCUCAGAAUCAAGCAAAACUCAAUAAAUGAGUAUGUAGAGAGUCAAAAGUUGUUUUUAGCGAUAUUAUGCUUGUUUUGCAUUCUUUUGUAGCUAUUUUGAGAAAGUGAAGAAUGGAGUUGAAGAUAAAGGUCGUAGACUCAAGAAAAGAGAAAAAAAUUGAAGAUUUGAAGAGUCGACGCACCGCCCGGCGACAACUUACACCGUCGGGCGGUCUAGGGCGAGGAGUAGGCACCUGGCGUUGGCGCUGAGCGGUUUUGAGGGAAACCGUCGGGCGGUAGGCCCUACCGUCGGGCGGUAGUGCGAUUUGUGGGAAACCGCCGGGCGCCACACUUAUACCGUCGGGCGGUUGUCUGUUGGGCUUGGGCCUAUUUUUCUGUUGUGCUUCUUUCUUUGAAUGGAAUGCCCUAAAUGGGUUUCCAUCAAAUCCCCUCUUCUGCAAUCUGAACCCACGUCAAAGAAUCCUCAACGCGUAAAUUCCAGCACUCUUCAAAGGAUCCAAGCCUCAACACUGUAGUCUUCACAGAAUGCCAAGCCUUCACAGAAUGUAGCACACUUCACAAGAUGCCAAGCCUUCAAUGAUCAAUCAAGAAACACCUUCUUUGUGCAGUUUCUGAUCACACAGUAAGCACACAAGCUCUUUCCCUUUGAAUCUCUCUCAAGAAAGAUCACCACCGUCUUCUUGGAGAAUUCUUGGAGCUGUUAAUAGAGAAUUCAAUCAGAAACAAGAAAUGAAAAUGUUAGAGCAUCAAAAGUCUCUAAACAAUUAGUGUUCAGCCUAUUUAUAGUUUUUUGUCAGUCAGAUUGUUUCACAGUAGAAUAGCCUACUAAUUCAGUCGACUGUAUUAUUACAGUUAUAACAGACAAUCAACAUAGAGGCUCUCAAUCAACAAAAAACAAUACACAUUUAAUACAGUUGUCCAAGUCAUCAAUGCUUAACUAACUUUUAAAAAUAUAGCCUUUGGAGCGCUCAAGCAUAAUAGAAUUCCAAAACAGAUCAAAGAUACAGUCGAAUGUACACUGGACAAAGUUGACUGACACAUGUAAAAACACUUUGAAAUUCUUUUCAACUCACAACAUCACUUAGCACUGAUUCUCAAAAUCUGUACAAAGGUUUUAGCAUAGUUGAAUCCAUUAUGAUUGUAGCCAAAUGUACUAUAACUUUGUCAAACAAUUAUAAGUUCACAAACGUGCUUGUGAUUUUUUCACUUUCCAAAAUGUGCAGUAAAAUAUUUUUGAUAAAGUAGUUUGCAUUGCACAUCAGCAUGUAAGCAUUUUCGACAAAUAUAUCACACAAUCAACUUAGGAACAUACACCACAGUACAUCAAAACAUGUUCAGUAGAUAUAACAAUCAGUACAGUAUAAGAACAUGUGAUAAGCUGUCGUUGAAGCUAUCAAAUUAAUACUACUUUUCAAGGCAACUUCAGUAUUACCUAGUAGUAUUCAAGAAAGUAGAUAGGGCUAAAGUAACCCUAAGUCGUCUCCCAACGAACACGGUAUUCCUUUCGAAUAUCUGAAACUUAUGAAUGCUAUGCAAUGCUUAAGAACAAAAGUGAGGAUGUUUAAAGGUUGUUGUAAAACAAAUAGAAAACUUAAAAACAAUUAUGAAGAAAUAGGCUAAUUCCACUGCUUUUCCAAAAUAGAUUCAUCAUCGGUUAUUCACAUAUCAUUGUUCAAUUGAUUAUUGUUUAAGUUUCAAAUUAGUUAAAGUACAUUCUUAAUUAAUUUGAGGGCGAUCAUGUAGUUAAUCAAAGUACAUUCUCAAUCAAA
rnacentral:lncRNA from 1 species